GAUCAUGGCUCAGGGUGAACGCUAGCUACAGGCUUAACACAUGCAAGUCGAGGGGCAGCAUGGUCUUAGCUUGCUAAGGCUGAUGGCGACCGGCGCACGGGUGAGUAACACGUAUCCAACCUGCCGUCUACUCUUGGCCAGCCUUCUGAAAGGAAGAUUAAUCCAGGAUGGGAUCAUGAGUUCGCAUGUCCGCAUGAUUAAAGGUAUUUUCCGGUAGACGAUGGGGAUGCG
rnacentral:rRNA from 1 species